rnacentral:tRNA from 1 species
GGCGUAGCUCAGAAGGUCAGAGCGGCCGAUUUGUAAUCGGCGGGUCGUCCGUUCGAUCCGGACCGUCGGCACCA